UGGAUCAAUGAUGAGUAAUUCUGAGGCAUAUAAGUCAUUCAUUUUGAUUAAAUCCUAAACUCUAAAGUCCAU
ensembl:snoRNA